CUGUCCCUGUGGUGUUGAGCUCCCAGGUUGGACUCUCUCCACAUGAAUACAGCACUGGCUCUCGUCUCACUGCCAGCCCCACCACUGCAAUGAGCCCACUGUCUUACCCACCCAGGACAGAGUGACACUACAGGCAAUUCAACCUCCAAACCCCACCAGGCAGAAUAACGUUGCAGAAACCUGCAGAUUUGGUGCUCAGCUAGGAAAAGAUCAAAUGUCAAAUUGUUUCUGAAUCCAUUUGAGAACACUUUGUUCCGAGGCUGGAGGAAUGGCAAAUAAGUUCACAUCAGCUCUCAAGUUGAUAAACUGGGUUGUAACUGCUGUUUCCCAUCAGUGGAAUUGGCUCAAAUUGGAGGCCAUGAAGCAGCACUCUGCCACAGCUCACAUCUGCCUUGUGGGAGUGAGAACUCCAACACUACCUCGUCCAUUGCUGGUUUGGGAUUUCUUCAUUGACCAACAGAAUAUUCUGAGUUGUGAAGACCAGGUAAAUCUGUAUUAUACAAGAAAUGUGUAUUAUUGCAAACACAGUGAAAAAUGGCAAAAUGGGUAAGUCACACAC